AACGAACGCUGGCGGCAUGCCUAACACAUGCAAGUCGAACGAGACCUUCGGGUCUAGUGGCGCACGGGUGCGUAACGCGUGGGAACCUGCCCUUAUGUUCGGAAUAACUCCCCGAAAGGGGUGCUAAUACCGGAUAAUGUCUUCGGACCAAAGAUUUAUCGCCUUUGGAUGGGCCCGCGUUGGAUUAGCUAGUUGGUAGGGUAAAAGCCUACCAAGGCGACGAUCCAUAGCUGGUCUGAGAGGAUGAUCAGCCACACUGGGACUGAGACACGGCCCAGACUCCUACGGGAGGCAGCAGUGGGGAAUAUUGGACAAUGGGCGAAAGCCUGAUCCAGCAAUGCCGCGUGAGUGAUGAAGGCCUUAGGGUUGUAAAGCUCUUUUACACGGGAUGAUAAUGACAGUACCGGGAGAAUAAGCUCCGGCUAACUCCGUG
rnacentral:rRNA from 1 species